rnacentral:piRNA from 1 species
UAACAGAAUAGACUCACGUUCUCCUUGC